rnacentral:rRNA from 3 species
UCUGGUAGCGAUGGCGGAAAGGUCACACCUGUUCCCAUACCGAACACAGAAGUUAAGCUUUCCAGCGCCGAUGGUAGUUGGGGUUACCCCCUGCGAGAGUAGGACGCCGCCAGGC